GACGAACGCUGGCGGCGUGCUUAACACAUGCAAGUCGAACGGAAAGGCCCUGCUUUUGUGGGGUGCUCGAGUGGCGAACGGGUGAGUAACACGUGAGUAACCUGCACUUGUCUUUGGGAUAACUUCAGGAAACUGGGGCUAUUACCGGAGAGGAGCUCCUGCAGCACGGUGGGGGUUGGAGAGUUUCGGCGGUUGGGGAUGGACUCGCGGCUUAUCAGCUUGUUGGUGGGGUAGUGGCUUACCAAGGCUUUGACGGGUAGCCGGCCUGAGAGGGUGACCGGCCACAUUGGGACUGAGAUACGGCCCAGACUCCUACGGGAGGCAGCAGUGGGGAAUAUUGCACAAUGGGCGGAAGCCUGAUGCAGCAACGCCGCGUGCGGGAUGACGGCCUUCGGGUUGUAAACCGCUUUCGCCUGUGACGAAGCGUGAGUGACGGUAAUGGGUAAAGAAGCACCGGCUAACUACGUG
rnacentral:rRNA from 1 species